CUGCUAAGCGGAGGGAGGAUGUCUGGGUCGCGCGCGGAGGCCGAGGAGAAGGUGGGCUCCAGACAGCGACUCCAGGUGAAUGGGAGAAAAGGCUUGUCCCUUUCGGGUGAAUGAAUAUAAGGAAAACCAAAACAUCGCUUAUGUGUCUCUGAGACCGGUACAGACUACAGUUUUAGGAAAAACAGCUAAGGUGUAUCUUGUUCCCUUUUCACUCAGUAGCUACAAGCCAGAUCAACUUAAGCGCUCCAAAUCCCUAUUAGAUAAGAAUUCUAACAAUGAAGUGGCAUGUAAGAAAUGUAAGAAGGCUGAAAUAAAGAAAACUUGCAGAAGGAUUUUAACCCCAAAGAUGGAAGCCACAUCUUCCAAGGCAGAAUCCACUCUGCAAAAAUCAUCCUUAGAUGUUCAUGCUGAAAGUAACAAGUGGCAAUACAAGAGCACUUCAGAUACAGUGAUUCUCAGUGCUGAUACAGAAAGCAGCCAGGAUGGAGACAGUGAUGAAGGUACCACACCAGGCAUGGAUGAUUUUUCAGGAUUGUCACCAUACGAAAAGAAGAGGCUGAAGAACAUAUCAGAAAAUGCAAACUUUUUUGCUUCUCUUCAGUUGUCUGAGUCAGCUGCAAGACUCCGUGAAAUGAUAAAGAAGAGACAGCCUCCUGAAUCCAAAAGGUUGGACAAGAUGGCAAGAGUGGGCUGCUGUUGGGUAUUUCCCUUCCCCAGAAAGAAGCCUAAGAAGAAAGAAAAUGAGACUGGAUGUAGAAGGUCAAUGCGAUUACUAAAAGUUGAUCCUUCAGGAGUUUCAUUACCCGCAACUCCAACCCAGCCAAUAGUAGUAGCAGAUGAAAAUCCUUUGUUACCUCCUGGGCCUUUAGAAAUGACUUCUGAAAAUCGAGAUGAUAACAGUGAACUAUUUAAAGGAUUUCUGCAGACUUGGGCAGAAGUGAGCAAGGUGUCACUUGGGAGGACAAGAAGUAAAAACACUGAGAAGGAGUUAUCUAGCAUUAAAAGCUACAAAGCCAAUUUAAAUGGCAUGAUCAUUAGUGAAGAUACUGUUUAUAAAGUUACCAAAGGCCCAAUAUUCUCAAUGGCUCUCCACCCAUCAGAAAUUAGAACUUUGGUGGCAGCUGGGGCCAGAUCUGGACAAGUUGGGCUUUGGGAUUUGACUCACCAACCUAAAGAAGAUGGAGUUUAUAUUUUUCAACCCCAUAGUCAACCAGUUAGCUGUCUUUACUUCUCGCCUGCCAAUCCAGCUCACCUGCUGUCACUGAGCUAUGAUGGCACAUUACGCUGUGGGGAUUUUUCCAGAGCUGUUUUUGAGGAGGUAUAUAGAGAUGAAAGAAGUAGCUUUUCCUCCUUUGACUUCUUGGCAGAAGACGCCUCCACUUUAAUAGUAGGUCACUGGGAUGGAAGUAUGUCACUAGUGGAUAGGCGGACGCCUGGAACUUCUUGUGAGAAACUUAUCAAUUCUUCUUUGAGCAAAAUAAGAACUGUACAUGUCCACCCAGUGCAUAGACAGUAUUUUAUCACUGCGGGAUUAAGGGAUAUUCAUAUUUAUGAUGCAAGGUGCCUGAAUCGCAGUAGAAUCAAGCCUUUGAUUUCUUUGACUGAACACACAAAGAGCAUCGCUUCUGCCUAUUUUUCACCUCUUACUGGUAACAGAGUAGUAACCACAUGUGCUGAUUGUAAGCUGAGAAUCUUUGACAGCAGCUGUAUAUCCUCGAAGAUUCCUCUUCUCACCACCAUCAGGCACAACACCAUUACUGGGAGAUGGCUGACCAGGUUCCAAGCUGUGUGGGACCCUAAACAAGAAGACUGUAUCAUAGUCGGCAGCAUGGCCCAGCCACGGCGAGUGGAAAUCUUCCAUGAGAGAGGAAACUUCAUCAGCUGUGCUAUUUAUAUCCCAUUCUACUUAACAGAGUUCUGUCUUCUUGAGGCGGUGCAGGAAGGAGAGAAGGACGGCUUACAAACACUGGUGCAGAAGCUGGACCAUCUAGAUUCUCCUUUGGGCUCUGAGACUGUGUGUAACCUUGGGAAAAUCAUUUCUUGGUUUUCCUCAUCAGAAAAAUGUGGUCCAAUUCAUCUCCAAAAUUAUUCCACACUUACAGCUUCUAAGUUCUUAAUAGUAUUUAUUUUGGGGGGAAGAACAAGGAUAAUAGAUGGCUAUAAACAAAAUGAUUAUUUUAAAUAAUUCCAGUUGCAGACAGCAGUCAGCUGUGUAAAUCCCACUGGUAUCCUUUUAUCUAUGUGUUGUUAAUUUUAAGGAGGAGAAAGUGAGAUAGGCUGUAAGUUAAAAAAAAAAAAAGAGUCCACUCUUCUAUGAUAUUUAAAUAUUUAUUUACGUUUAAAAAUAAUUUUCAUGGCACCAAUGAUUUUAUGCUAACUACAUACUGCAUAUGUAGAAAAAAGUACAUUGCUUUGAAGGAAAAUGUAACUUAUAAUUUUUGGCACACAAGAGGUUAACAACUAUAUAUAUUUUUAAUGAAACUAAGAAAUUCACAUUUGCAGGUAGUUUACCUUCUACUGCUUAAAGAUGCAGUACACUAUUCUUUAGUAAGAGUUUUAUUUCCUCUGAUAGAUGAAGCUGUGGAAACCACUGCUUUUUCUACAAUGAGAUCAAAACUAAUUUUGAGAGAAAAUAGGAGACAUAGUGGAACACAGUAAAAUCAGGUUAAAAACUUGAACAAUUUCUAAUGAUGGGGAGAUACCAAAAAAGACUAGUCACCAACAAAGGAAGUUUGUUAUUCAAGCACUAUUUGAAAAGCAAAUUGAAGGAAACUUUUCUAUCUGUAUUUUGUGGGAUAAGCCCUGGAAAAAAAUAACCCAAAAGUUUCUGUUCAGAGAGCAAAAUCCAGCUGUAGGAAGUGGAAUGGACUAUUGUACUGUUAGAACUCUAGACACAAGUACGUACCAGGAUAUGGAAUACUGCAUCUUUCUUUAAUGUGAAUAUGAAAGGUCAGAGUCGAGGCUAUCACUCACUGCAUAGAAACACCAUAUUCUACAGACUGAGGUAGGAACACUACACUAAAAGGUAAUCUGCUAUGUUGCAUAAGACAGUAGAUAUCCAGGUUAAAACCAGCCCCGUAUUUCCUGACAGCCUUUUCUUCUCCGAGUCUACUUUUUACUCCAAUCCUGUGCUAAUAAAGCCUUUCCUGUAGAUGACAAGUGGCAGUGGCUAGUUGGUUCUAAGCGAUCCCUAAUCUUUACUAGGCUCUCCCUCAUAUUUUGUCUUGUCACUUUGAAAAUAGAUGUUUGUAAUUCUGCCCAAAUUUCUGCUGGUAUGGAAAUGAUCAGACAGGCCCUCUUCCAUGCUUAGAUUCUGGCUGCGUUUUAGCAUUCCAGUGGUUGAUCUUGCUCAUCUUGGCAUCAGACAUCUCUUUGCUGGUUGGUUGUUCGAGCACCCUUUAAACAAGCAACCCCAGUGCCUCUACUGGGAAAUGAUCCCGGAUCUUUAACACACGUCAGGAAUUGGAGCAGAGCUGACCCUCUUUCUGCUUACACACUGGUAAGGAGCAGUUUUAUUGUCUAGCUCGGGGUUGGCAGAUUAUGGCCUGUGGGCUAAAUUCAGCUCACUGCCUGUUUUUAUAAAUAAAAAUGUUAUUGGAACACAGCUUUGCUCCUUUGUUUAUGUAUUACCUAUGGCUGUUUUGUGAUAAGAUGGUGGAGUUGAGUAGUUGCCAGAGUAUGGCCCACAAAACCAAAAUAAAAAAAUAUUUACUAUCUGGCACUUUACAGAAGAAGUUUGCCGACCCCUGGUCUAGAUAAAAGGGCAAUUAAAAUUUUGAAACACAGCACCACCCCCAACCUUAAAAAAGGAAAAACUCCGUUUAUCCAUGGCUAUUAGAUUCUAUAUAUGGACAUGGUUCUGCUGUCUCAGAGGACAAACUUGGGGAAAGCAGAUCUACAUGUGACUCAUUCUGUUCUGCAUUUGAGGCUCCCCAGCAUCAUAGGGUGUCAGCAGCUGCUCCACUGUUAUGUGGGUCCCAGGAAUAUGUCCACUGACUGUCCUUACGUAAGUCCUCAGGCCCAGAUGACUUAGAAAUCUCUCCCUGAGAUGAAAACAAGAUCUUGUGUGUGAGUGGUUGUAAGAGUUGCAGAGCUCGGGCCUCGGACCCCACACUCACCCUCCACAUGCUGCUCUUCUGCAUGGAGCCUCGGCAAGGAUGGUGGCCCCAUUGAUCUGCCGGGAAAGCAGCAUCAGCUCCAGGCUGUGCUCGGCCACAGGGGUGGGCAGCACACUGUCUGCAGGGCUGUAGGCCUCAUCCGCGAUCACGGCGACUCGCUCAUUGCUGUCUGCCCGGCUGCUUCUCACGUGAGGCAGGAAAGUGUCCCCGUGGGAGGAGGGCUCAAAGCUCUAGUAGGGAAGAACAGGAGCUGGUUACCCCCCCUCAACCAAACAGCAGCCACCCAGGCCAGAGGAUGUCAGAGCUCAGAGUCACCAAGUGUGGCCCAUGUCAUAGUGCUCCCAAGGAAAUGGCUUCUUGUUUUCAAGUUCAGUGUCUGUAUUUUCUACUCCUGGCCAUAUUGGUGGUUCCAGAGUGGCUCUCCCUGCUUUUGUGGUCCACAUCACGAGAAGCUCGUCCCCUUCUGUUGCUCUGAAAUCGACCCUGACUGCCCCAGACAGCUGGACACUCAGCUAGUAAAGGCUUGAUGAUCCCUGCACUGAUAGAGCCGCUCAACUGCUAAAAUCUUGUAUUUUUUUUCACAUCCAAACCAGAUGUCCAUCUGCCUCUCCUCACCCUGAAUUACAUUCUGCCUGUGAGUUUCAUUCCUGCCAGGGCAGUUCUCAGCUUCUACCCACGCUCUUCUGAGUCUAAUGGGCCUCGAGGGCCAUGACCGGGGAUGAAGACUGUGCUUGUCUAUAGGCACCACUGGGCAUGGGGUGUAAGGAGCACGUUGGCUUGGGGAGUAGCACGUGGAGGCCUGCUGUGUUAUAAUCUGCCAGGUGUGAAGUUCUGAGCCUAAGCUUUUGAGGCCGUGCCCUGGCCCUGGGGUGGGGGGGGUCUCUGCUCUAAUAGCUUUCUGCACCCUCCCCUGGCAUUUUGUAAGCAUGGUGACAGUUUUGGAUGUUGAGGAGCCUACUGCUGCUACAGUGGGAGAAGACAGGUUCUGGGAGGAGGCUGAAGGCACAGCCAGAGCUGGUUGGGAACUGAGGCAGCCUCACAGCUUGUCUUGGGGGAGCUUGAGGAUGGUUCUCCCCACCUCUGAGUUGUUUUGCUAACCCUGCUUGGCAGCUACUCCAAAUGAGUUAUAUCCCCACAUGGAUGGCCUCAGUCUUCCCUCUUCUGGGAAUGCUGGUUUUACUGGACAUUCUUCCAUAUGCUGGGGAGCAGUAAUGCCUGAGGCUGCUCUCCUAUGCGAUACCUGCAUUAGGGCCAGCUUCCCCCAGGGGGUGGCCUUUUCUCUGGGAGGACAGCUGUCCCGACUCUCUGCAAGAGCCUUGGGAUGAACCUGGUGGCUUCAGCCUCAGGGCAGACGGGAACAAGGGCCACAGAGAGGGGAGAAAGUUAUGUUUCCUCAAAAGAGGAGAAGACAGUCCACUUUCCUGAGAUGCACACCCCAAAAUAAGAGAGCUGGGCUCACUUCUCCCGCUCAGCCUAAGAUAGGAGGGAAAACCAGGGGGCUGUGUCUGAUGAUGGCCAGCCCUCAAUAAUUCCAUACCUUGCAUAGCCAUUAUACUUGGGAGUUUCCAAGGCACCUUCCCCCACCCCCCACCCCUUUCUACAGUGGGGGCAACAGGCUCAGAGAGGUUAAGCAACCUGCCCAGAAAAUGUGUGGCAGAGCUCCUAUUUUGACUUCAUCCUUGACUUCCUGACCAGGGCUCUUUGCAUUGUGCUUGCUGCCUACCCAGUAAACGCUUUCAUCUCUUUAAAGUACUUGCAUGUACAUCAGCUUCCUUGAAACCCAUGGAGUUUUACAAAUGGAGCAACUAAGGUACUCACAUAAAUAAGGCCUUUGAUCGUGGUUCUCUCCCAAAGGUUUAGUCUAAUACUCUCAGAUCUACAAACCCCUCCUGGACCACAGCUCAUCAGGGCUGGAUGGGAUUACCCUUCACCUGACACCCAGCUGGUGUUCCCAUUGACUGGAUGAAACAUUCUCCCUACCAUUGGAGAAACUUGCUGCUGUCUCUGCUGUCUCUAGUGCAAAUUCACUUCUUUUCAAGGUCCCUGUGAGGAACCGGUCCAGGUGACAACUUGGAGGAACCCCAGGUCAUCUGCAGAGCUCAUGCUCACCUUCCAUGAUGGAGAUGUGAACAGCUCUUCUCCGGGUCCUAGGGACGCUGCUCAGCCUUGGGCCAUGGGUUAUGGAGGGACAGCUGCGGCUGGGGACCAUCCCUGCUCUGAGGUUAAAGAAAAAAAGAAUUCUGUUGACUUAGUGCACUGACAAAUGUGGUCAGGACUCAGAGUUGAGGACUGGUUACUAGAAUUGCCUGAGAAUUGCCUGGCUGUGUUAAGGUUUGUUUUGUUUUUAAAAAUCUUUAAUACCUGCUUUCUGCUUUUAGUCCCUGAAUCCCAGUCAGAGACACUACUUCAAACUUGUCAACCUCCUUAUAUCCCAGACCUACCUGAACCUUUCUUUAGUGUGGCAGUGGUGCCACUGGUCCCUGGGCAGGAUUGUCAGAGAGUAGAGCCCCAGGAUAUGUGGUGCUCCUAAAAAUGUGCCUAAGACUGAUAUGCGGCCUCCCCUGACUUCCCACAGAGGGCAGGGGGGUCCGUGUGAAGGCAGGUAGUAAUGCUCCCAUUCCCAGAGGUCAGUCUGGUUGGCAAACCCCAGACCUUUUGGCCAAUCAUAUUCUCCCUCAGUCUUACCAGGUUUUAGGCGAUGGCCUCCUGGAAAUUUAUGAUUUACAGUUACACAUAAAGCAUGGAUCCUGAAACUAUUUCAGACCUAGUGUGACUGGCUUCCUGUAAUGCCCUGUUUCCAGAGCCAAUGAAAUCUUGCUGCUUGGGCAUGUCCUCCAAGGUCUAUGACCAAUUUCAGGACUUGGGAUGAUGGUAGAGAAUUACCCAGGAAGGCGGCUCCUGGGUCUGAUGUACUAUCUGCAUUAGCCCACCUUCCCUCAUUCUCCAGGGUCAUCCUGUUCCCAUGCCUUUGACUGAGAUGGGUCUCUUCACCCUGCUGCCCUGUUUGGAAGCCAUCAUGGCCAGAAUCUUCACAGUACUCAAACUGCUGGCUCUUUUAAGAGUCCGAGAUCUGAGCUGGACCUGGUUUGGGGAUAAGCCCCUGGUGCCUACCUGUGUAUUUCUGGUGGCUCCCGUUUGAUCUUGGCACUGGACUCCAUCACUUCCUUUGCAACUCGGCCACUAUAAGUAGUAUAAAUAAAACAAGCAGCAAGAAAUGAGACAGUGUUCCAGGACUGAGCUCCUCUGUAAGAUCUCAGAUACUUGAGCUGAAUUGGGAAGUGGCCUCUUUGGCCUACCCCUUCUCAAUGUUUAGGCCACUGAGUAGGGCUUGCUUGCUGGGGUAAAGAGCUCUAAGGCGUCCUAACAGCUCUCUGUCUCUGCGGUCUUUGGGAUCUUCCAUCCUCAUUUAGGAAUGAUUCCUCAUUGUCCAGCGUGUUCCAGAAAUAUUGCAAAAAAAUGAAAUCUUUAGAUAGAAAUGAAAGGAAUCACUCUUACAGUUCUUAUUUUGCUGCUUUUGUAAGGGCAGGAGAAGACACACAUUUUAACCCCUACAGGCAAACAGCUGCAGGGAAGGAAAGAAAUAGUCAAAGGGUUAGGAGACAGGAGAAUCGGAUGGAAACCUCACACUCCUCUGGAGGUUCCCAGCGUCUUUGUUCUCAGGAUAAGGACCACUGGGCCACCCUUCUCCAGAGAAGGGUCUGAAAAUAGGUCCAUAACGGUUACUUACUGUCACUAUUUACCUGUAUCGGAACCGGCUCCCUUUAAAGAAUAAAUUGCUGCUGGACACUGUGCGGACUUGGCUUGACUUCUCCAGCCUGCAGCAAGGCAAAGUCCAGUGUGAGAGAUGGUCUGCAAUGCCUUACAGCCUAAGGCUGUGUCCCUAGCUCCUUCCAAAGGCUACUUGAAAGAACCCCUCAGGAAAAGGCCCUUCACAGCCCUGCUUGUCUCUGACUCCUUUAGCACCUGAGGGCUGUGUUCACGGUCUCAGUGCUAUGGACAGGCAUGCUGCAAUCCACUUCCACGUUAGGAGAGUGAGGGCUCCCCAAGAGUGCCUCAUGGGUUCACCAUGGGGACUGAGAGAAUAAAUGUUAGGGAAAGAGAAUGCCACCUGCUGAAUCUCAGCCAGGCCACUGGUUAGCAGUGUGACCCUGGGCAAAUUUCUCCUCUGUUAGCCUCAGUCUUAUCUAUAAAAUGGUGGAGCUGGGACUGCUUGACCUCAGGAGUCCCUUCCAGUCCUAGUAUUUGAGAAUUCAUGUCCAUGUCUGGGUAACUGUGGGUGGAGAAGAGAGUAGUGCCCUUCCUAUUCCAUCUCCUUGGAGCGAACCUAAAGUAUAUUGUCACAUUAGAGACUCUGAGAAGUCGUGAAAUGAAGAAACUAGCUGAACUUUAAUAAAAGUUCCACCACUUGUUUGAACUUGGAACCAUUUGCCCUCCCCCAGAAAGCCCAUUAACACCACUUUCAAGGCUGUGAACAGCUGAGGUGGAGACUCUGGAAGCCACCCUUGAGUGACUGCUCUGAUCCCUGUACUCCUCUCACUUAGAAAGGGAAGCAUGGGCAGAGCUGCCCAGAUUGAAUCUCCUAAGACCUGACCCCAUCCACAACACGUCCUGGGUGCCUGUAGUGCUAACCCAGCUGGGAACCGAACUGGUCUGAAGCCUUUGUUCUGAGCGGGCAGUGAAUAUUUAGGGAGUUGUCCCUAUAAUCCAUGAACAGCAGGUGCUGGGGACACCAUCCCCACCUGUCUCAGGGCUCCAUGAGGCUCUGAGCCUACUUACUCUCCUGUCUGAGCACAUUCCUUUUCUUUUCUUUUUUUUUUUUUGGUUUAAAAUAUUUAAUACGUGUUAGACACGUAAAGUUAUUUUUUUCUGAGCACCUUCUUGAGCCUGACCGGCUCCCUUCAAAGCACUAGGCCAAAAGCGGGGCAGGGAUCUGCCCAUGACAGACACUCUGAGUGA